GACGAACGCUGGCGGCGUGCCUAAUACAUGCAAGUCGAGCGGACUUAAAAAGCUUGCUUUUUAAGUUAGCGGCGGACGGGUGAGUAACACGUGGGCAACCUGCCUGUAAGACUGGGAUAACUUCGGGAAACCGGAGCUAAUACCGGAUAAUCCUUUUCUACUUAUGUAGAAAAGCUGAAAGACGGUUUACGCUGUCACUUACACAUGGGCCCGCGGCGCAUUAGCUAGUUGGUGAGGUAACGGCUCACCAAGGCGACGAUGCGUAGCCGACCUGAGAGGGUGAUCGGCCACACUGGGACUGAGACACGGACCAGACUCCUACGGGAGGCAGCAGUAGGGAAUCUUACGCAAUGGACGAAAGUCUGACGGAGCAACGCCGCGUGAGUGAUGAAGGUUUUCGGAUCGUAAAACUCUGUUGUUAGGGAAGAACAAGUACGAGAGUAACUGCUCGUACCUUGACGGUACCUAAUCAGAAAGCCACGGCUAACUACGUG
rnacentral:rRNA from 1 species